GCGCAUGUGGCGUAAUUGGUAGCCGCGCCAGACUUAGGAUCUGGUGCCGAAAGGCGUGGGGGUUCGAGUCCCUCCAUGCGCA
rnacentral:tRNA from 1 species